UGAUCCUGGCUCAGAUUGAACGCUGGCGGCAGGCUUAACACAUGCAAGUCGAGCGGAAACGAUGAUAGCUUGCUAUCAGGCGUCGAGCGGCGGACGGGUGAGUAAUACUUAGGAAUCUACCUAGUAGUGGGGGAUAGCACGGGGAAACUCGUAUUAAUACCGCAUACGACCUACGGGAGAAAGGGGGCAGUUUACUGCUCUCGCUAUUAGAUGAGCCUAAGUCGGAUUAGCUAGAUGGUGGGGUAAAGGCCUACCAUGGCGACGAUCUGUAGCUGGUCUGAGAGGAUGAUCAGCCACACCGGGACUGAGACACGGCCCGGACUCCUACGGGAGGCAGCAGUGGGGAAUAUUGGACAAUGGGGGAAACCCUGAUCCAGCCAUGCCGCGUGUGUGAAGAAGGCCUUUUGGUUGUAAAGCACUUUAAGCAGUGAAGAAGACUCCGUGGUUAAUACCCACGGACGAUGACAUUAGCUGCAGAAUAAGCACCGGCUAACUCUGUGCCAGCAGCCGCGGUAAUACAGAGGGUGCAAGCGUUAAUCGGAAUUACUGGGCGUAAAGGGAGCGUAGGUGGCUCUAUAAGUCAGAUGUGAAAUCCCCGGGCUCAACCUGGGAACUGCAUCUGAAACUGUAGAGCUAGAGUAUGUGAGAGGAAGGUAGAAUUCCAGGUGUAGCGGUGAAAUGCGUAGAGAUCUGGAGGAAUACCGAUGGCGAAGGCAGCCUUCUGGCAUAAUACUGACACUGAGGCUCGAAAGCGUGGGUAGCAAACAGGAUUAGAUACCCUGGUAGUCCACGCCGUAAACGAUGUCUACUAGUCGUUGGGUCCCUUGAGGACUUAGUGACGCAGCUAACGCAAUAAGUAGACCGCCUGGGGAGUACGGCCGCAAGGUUAAAACUCAAAUGAAUUGACGGGGGCCCGCACAAGCGGUGGAGCAUGUGGUUUAAUUCGAUGCAACGCGAAGAACCUUACCUGGUCUUGACAUAUCUAGAAUCCUGCAGAGAUGCGGGAGUGCCUUCGGGAAUUAGAAUACAGGUGCUGCAUGGCUGUCGUCAGCUCGUGUCGUGAGAUGUUGGGUUAAGUCCCGCAACGAGCGCAACCCUUGUCCUUAGUUACCAGCGGGUUAAGCCGGGAACUCUAAGGAUACUGCCAGUGACAAACUGGAGGAAGGCGGGGACGACGUCAAGUCAUCAUGGCCCUUACGACCAGGGCUACACACGUGCUACAAUGGUAGGUACAGAGGGCAGCUACACAGCGAUGUGAUGCGAAUCUCAAAAAGCCUAUCGUAGUCCAGAUUGGAGUCUGCAACUCGACUCCAUGAAGUAGGAAUCGCUAGUAAUCGCGGAUCAGAAUGCCGCGGUGAAUACGUUCCCGGGCCUUGUACACACCGCCCGUCACACCAUGGGAGUUGAUUGCACCAGAAGUGGAUAGCUUAACCUUCGGGGAGGC
rnacentral:rRNA from 1 species